rnacentral:lncRNA from 1 species
AAGGGUGUAGGGAGCCGAGGGACAUAAAGAGAAGAACUGAGAGGGACAGAGAGUAGAAUGGUUAGAAGGAGUAACAGUGAUAGAUGAAAUGCAGGGUGAGGUGAGUGGAAGGAAAAAGGGGAUUGGGAUGAAAGUUAGGGAGCAGUGAGCAUGUGCAUGUAGGGGUUACGUGUGUGAGUAUUUGGUAUGGAUAUGUGUUUGUGUAGGUGCGUUUGGUGUGUAUGUGUGUUUGUAUAGGUGUGUUUUGUGUGUAUAUGUGUUUGUG